rnacentral:rRNA from 1 species
UACGAAGGGUGCAAGCGUUAUUCGGAAUUACUGGGCGUAAAGCGUGUGUAGGCGGUCACGUAAGUCGGAUGUGAAAGCCCUGGGCUCAACCCAGGAAGUGCACUCGAUACUGCGUGGCUUGAGUACUGGAGAGGUUGGUGGAAUUCUCGGUGUAGAGGUGAAAUUCGUAGAUAUCGAGAGGAACACCGGUGGCGAAGGCGGCCAACUGGACAGAUACUGACGCUGAAACACGAAAGCGUGGGGAGCAAACAGG